AAAGUCGUAACAAGGUCUCCGUAGGUGAACCUGCGGAGGGAUCAUUUAUGGAAAUGUCUAUCGCUGGGGGUGCGCGCGCGUAUCCCCGUGGUAUUGGCAAACUGGACUGGAUGAAAAUGCGCCUUUUGGCAAGGGGGGGGCCUUGCCGCCUCGGAGCCAAAAGGUAGUGAGUGGUCGAUGUGCCCAUCGGAGAUGGCGCACGGCCGUAUGCAUGCACGCGUGGGGCAGGAUGCAGACUUGGGCGGCCGAAAAAGGUACGCUGUCCGGAAAACUGGCACCAGCGAUGGGGAAACCCAUACGCGCAACACAAAGAAUACAACUUUUGGCAACGGAUCUCUUGGUUCCC
rnacentral:misc_RNA from 1 species